AAUUAGCCAGGUAUGGUGGCAUGCACCUGUAGUCCCAGCUACUCGGGAGGCCGAGAUGGGAGGAUCACUUGAGCCUGGGAGGUCAAGAGUGCAGUGAGCCCUCUUGUUUGUUUUUAACUCUUUUAAAACCUUCCUAACAAGGAAGAUUCUUAGUUGUUAGGCCAUACGAAAUACAAAAAUAGGCCACUCAAGCCCUGCUGUAGAGAGCAGAGCAUCAGGUGGAGUUUUGAUGCAAACAACCUUGCAAAGUUCCUUCCAGCCUGAAAUCCUGAGCUGUGAAGCAGAGGAGGCCCUUUGACGGUGCCACUGCACUCCAGCCUGAGUAACACAGCGAGACCAAAAAAAAAAAAAGGGGGGGGACCCUAGCAACCAGAGCAGUGACAGUAGCAACCGCCGUUAUGGCGAAAGCAACAACAAUCAAAGAAACCCUAGCGAGAUGGGAAGAGAAAACUGGCCAGGGGCCAUCUGAAGCCAAAGAGAUAUAACGUUAUGCCCAGAUUCCCCCCAUAGAGAAGAUGGAUGCAUCCUUGUCCACGCUUGCUAAUGGCGAGAAGCUUUCACUGUCUACAAACUACAUUGAAAAAAUUGCCAACCUGAGUGGCUUUAAAAACUUGAGGAUAUUAUCAUUAGGAAGAAACAACAUAAAGAACUUAAAUGGACUGGAGGCAGUAGGGGAUACAUUAGAAGGACUGUGGAUCUCGUACAAUUUUAUUGAGAAGUUGAAAGGGAUCCACGUAAUGAAGAAAUUGAAGAUUCUCUACAUGUCUAAUAACCUGGUAAAAGACUGGGCUGAGUUUGUGAAGCUGGCAGAACUGCCAUGCCUGGAAGACCUGGUGUUUGUAGGCAAUCCCUUGGAAGAGAAACAUUCUGCUGAGAACAACUGGAUUGAAGAAGCUACCAAGAGAGUGCCCAAACUGAAAAAGCUGGGUGGUACUCCAGUCAUUAAGGAGGAUGAGGAAGAAGAUAACUAAUGCCACCUUUUCCACUUUGUGUUAACUUAUUUAAAUGUCAUAAGAACAAUAGAUACAUUUCAUAUUAAAAAAAAAAAA